GAUGAACGCUGACAGAAUGCUUAACACAUGCAAGUCAACUGUGGCGGACGGGUGAGUAACGCGUAAAGAACUUGCCUCACAGUUAGGGACAACAUUUGGAAACGAAUGCUAAUACCUGAUACUGUGAGAGAGCUUUGCGUCCCAUUAGCUAGUUGGAGAGGUAACGGCUCACCAAGGCGAUGAUGGGUAGCCGGCCUGAGAGGGUGACCGGCCACAAGGGGAUGGGGACACGGGCCUUACUCCUACGGGAGGCAUGGGUGGGGAAUAUAGGACAAUGGACCAAAGUGUGAUCCAGCAAGUCUGUGUGCACGAUGAAGUUUUCGGGAUGUAAAGUGGUUUCAGUUGGGAAGCGGUACCAACAGAAAAAGUGACGGCUAAAUACGUGCCAGCAGCCGCGGUAAUAC
rnacentral:rRNA from 1 species